UAGUGGCGAACGGGUGAGUAACACGUGGGCAAUCUGCCCUUCACUCUGGGACAAGCCCUGGAAACGGGGUCUAAUACCGGAUAACACCUGCCCGGGCAUCCGGGUGGGUUAAAAGCUCCGGCGGUGAAGGAUGAGCCCGCGGCCUAUCAGCUUGUUGGUGAGGUAGUGGCUCACCAAGGCGACGACGGGUAGCCGGCCUGAGAGGGCGACCGGCCACACUGGGACUGAGACACGGCCCAGACUCCUACGGGAGGCAGCAGUGGGGAAUAUUGCACAAUGGGCGAAAGCCUGAUGCAGCGACGCCGCGUGAGGGAUGACGGCCUUCGGGUUGUAAACCUCUUUCAGCAGGGAAGAAGCGAAAGUGACGGUACCUGCAGAAGAAGCGCCGGCUAACUACGUGCCAGCAGCCGCGGUAAUACGUAGGGCGCAAGCGUUGUCCGGAAUUAUUGGGCGUAAAGAGCUCGUAGGCGGCUUGUCACGUCGGGUGUGAAAGCCCGGGGCUUAACCCCGGGUCUGCAUUCGAUACGGNCUAGCUAGAGUGUGGUAGGGGAGAUCGNANUCCU
rnacentral:rRNA from 1 species